UACGGAGGGGACUAGCGUUGUUCGGAAUUACUGGGCGUAAAGCGCACGUAGGCGGACCUGCAAGUCGGGGGUGAAAGCCCGAGGCUCAACCUCGGAACUGCCUUCGAUACUGCGGGUCUCGAGUCCGGGAGAGGUGAGUGGAAUUCCUAGUGUAGAGGUGAAAUUCGUAGAUAUUAGGAAGAACACCAGUGGCGAAGGCGGCUCACUGGCCCGGUACUGACGCUGAGGCGCGAAAGCGUGGGGAGCAAACAGGG
rnacentral:rRNA from 1 species